AGGAUCACGCAGGGGAGUCCCGCUUAGGGGACUGAGAGGCUGACAGGGUGAAAACCCGGUGACGCGACCCUUUGAACCUGACCCAGUUGAUACUGGCGUAGGAAGCUAGGCGCGCAGACCG
rnacentral:ncRNA from 2 species